rnacentral:rRNA from 1 species
CCAGCAGCUGCGGUAAUUCCAGCUCCAAUAGCGUAUAUUAAAGUUGUUGCGGUUAAAAAGCUCGUAGUUGGAUUUCUGCCAAGGACGACCGGUCCGCCCACUGGGUGUGCAUCUGGCUCGGCCUGGGCAUCUUCUUGGAGAACGUAUCUGCACUUCACUGUGUGGUGCGGUAUCCAGGACUUUUACUUUGAGGAAAUUAGAGUGUUUCAAGCAGGCACACGCCUUGAAUACGUUAGCAUGGAAUAAUAAGAUAGGACCUUGGUUCUAUUUUGUUGGUUUCUAGAACUGAGGUAAUGAUUAAUAGGGAUAGUUGGGGGCAUUCGUAUUUAACUGUCAGAGGUGAACUUCUUGGAUUUGUUAAAGACGGACUACUGCGAAAGCAUUUGCCAAGGAUGUUUUCAUUGAUCAAGAACGAAAGU